rnacentral:lncRNA from 13 species
UGGGAGAAAAAGUCCAUUUUCUAAGUGAAUUUAUACUAUUAUAAGACCUGUCGCGGGCCCUGGCUCCCUUCCUUCAAUUGCCAACUUCAGAGAGAAGCUUACACAAUUGGAAAAGGAGGUUGGAGAUUCAUCUCCUCUUAACUGUAAAGGUGGCAAAUCUCUCUCAACUCUUUGGUUAGAAAAUACAGGUAAGUGUAUGGUUGGGCGCGGUGGCUCAUGCCUGUAAUCCCAGCAAUUUGGGAGGCCGAGGCAGGUGGAUCCUCUGAGGUCAGGAGUUUGAGACCAGUUUGGGCAACAUGGUGAAACCCCAUCUCUACUAAAAAUGCAAAAGUUCAUGGUGGCGAGUGCCUGUAAUCCCAGCUACUCAGGAGGUUGAGGCAGGAGAAUGGCUUGAAUCCAGGAAGCAGAGGUUGCAGUGAGCCAAGAUCAUGCCAUUGCACUCCAGCCUAGGCAAGAAGAACAAGACUCUGCUUUGAAAAAUAUAUAUAUAUAAAAAAAAAAAGAAAAGAAAGAAAAAGAAAAUGCAAUUAAGUGGACUGGAGUGUGCUCUUUCCAAAGAAAAUUGGCUGGAUUGAGAUGUGAGUGUCCUAGAAGCUGAACCAAUAAAAAUCAAUCAUUCCCAUCCCCGGGGAAAUGG